UACGGAGGGUGCAAGCGUUAUCCGGAUUCACUGGGUUUAAAGGGUGCGUAGGCGGGCAGGUAAGUCAGUGGUGAAAUCUCCGAGCUUAACUCGGAAACUGCCAUUGAUACUAUUUGUCUUGAAUAUUGUGGGGGUAAGCGGAAUAUGUCAUGUAGCGGUGAAAUGCUUAGAUAUGACAUAGAACACCAAUUGCGAAGGCAGCUCACUACACGAAUAUUGACUCUGAGGCACGAAAGCGUGGGGAUCAAACAGG
rnacentral:rRNA from 1 species